GUGUACUCCGACGUUGUCCAGGUGAACUCUGCGUGUGACAGAUUAUAUGCGGAGUCUUCUGUGUUUCAGGCGGAGUUCCUGCCGUUCGAUAGAGCGACAGGAACCCCGCCUGAAACACGGAAACAAGACUUGGCUACUGGAUCGUCCCGGUCCAGAGCCCGUCACGGUUUAUUCCGAUAGCCAAUCAUCGCUUGAGGCCUUGAGCGACGGAUACCAUCGACGGCGAAUGAUAUUGGAGAUCAGAGGUAGGGUACUGGCGAUGCGGCACUGCCGAGUUGUCGCUCUCCGUUGGGUCCGAGGUUACACGGCCAUCUAUGGAACGAACGUGCGGAUUUUCUGAUCAGGACAUCCGCACGGGUUCCAGUCGUGAACGCGACCGUUUCCCCAACCCUCAGCUACAUCAAAGGUACUCUACUGCAGUUAUCGAUGACAAAUUGGCAGGAGAGCUGGUCCGCUAGCA
rnacentral:lncRNA from 1 species